AGCGCAGGUGGUUUCUUAAGUCUGAUGUAAAAGGCAGUGGCUCAACCAUUGUGUGCAUUGGAAACUGGGAGACUUGAGUGCAGGAGAGGAGAGUGGAAUUCCAUGUGUAGCGGUGAAAUGCGUAGAUAUAUGGAGGAACACCGGAGGCGAAAGCGGCUCUCUGGCCUGUAACUGACACUGAGGCUCGAAAGGCGUGGGAGCAAACA
rnacentral:rRNA from 1 species